rnacentral:lncRNA from 1 species
UCAUUGCUACUACUAUGCUCGCUACCCCCUUCCGAUGAUCCAUUGGUGACGAUGCUGCUCUAUGACAAGGAGACCUUGGAGUAUGAAGAUAUGGUCUCGAUGUUGCGGUCCAAUGAAUAGUGAGAGAAGUUGACCAAGAAAGGUGCUCCCCAAGAGGACUUGGCCAUGGAGGAGAGAUCUGCAAGAGGAAGGAAAAGAGGUAAGUCAAAGGGAUGGUCAAAGUCUCGGAAGAGCAGGAGCAAGAAGGAAGUCAGGUGCCACAAGUGCAACGAGAUCAGGCACUUCAAAUGAGAUUGCCCGC